rnacentral:rRNA from 1 species
UCCAUAGUAUCAUAAAUACACAUGUUUUUAUGAUUAAAGGUUACGGUAAGAGAUGGGCAUGCGUCCUAUUAGCUAGAUGGUAAGGUAACGGCUUACCAUGGCGACGAUAGGUAGGGGGCCUGAGAGGGUGAUCCCCCACACUGGUACUGAGACACGGACCAG